rnacentral:rRNA from 1 species
CAAUAGCGUAUAUUCAAGUUGUUGCAGUUAAAAAGCUCGUAGUUGAAUUUUGGGUCCGGUGUUGUGGUUUGAUGUAAUGUCAACACUGCUAAAUCGGACCUUUCCUUCUAGGGAACCAUCGUGCUAUUAAUUUAGUGCGGUGGGGAUCUAGGACUGUUACUGUGAAAAAAUUAGAGUGUUUAAAACAGGCUUUUUGCUUGAAUACAUUAGCAUGGAAUAACGGAAUAGGACUUUGUUUCUAUUUUGUUGGUUUUGAGGAACAAAGUAAUGAUUAAUAGGAACAAUUGGGGACGUUAGUAUUCCAUUGUCAGAGGUGAAAUUCUUGGAUUUAUGGAAGACUAACUUCUGCGAAAGCAUUCGUCAAGGGUGUUUUCAUUAA